CGAAAGCUAGUGCACUCUAGACAAAGUAGGGAGUACAGCACUCUUUAAAAGUUAACCUGCUAUCAAAAGUAAUUAACAGGUGCUUCCACUAUUGUUCUGUCUAGCCACAGAUUUUGACGCUCUUGAACCCACCCCAUUCCACAUCUACCAUAAAUGGACCUUCAAAGCCUGAAAAAUUGCUGCCAUA